GAUGAACGCUAGCGGCAGGCCUAACACAUGCAAGUCGAGGGGCAUCAUGGCGUAGCAAUACGCUGAUGGCGACCGGCGCACGGGUGCGUAACGCGUAUGGAACCUACCCACCGCAGGGGGAUAACCCGCCGAAAGGCGGACUAAUACCCCAUGGUUCCCCGACCCUGCCUGGGGUUGGGGGUAAAGCCUACGGGCGGCGGUGGAUGGCCCUGCGUGCCAUUAGCUGGCUGGUGGGGUAACGGCCCACCAGGGCGACGAUGGCUAGGGGGUCUGAGAGGACGAUCCCCCACACUGGUACUGAGACACGGACCAGACUCCUACGGGAGGCAGCAGUGAGGAAUAUUGGUCAAUGGGCGGAAGCCUGAACCAGCCAUGCCGCGUGAGUGAAGAAGGCCUUCGGUUGUAAGCUCUUUCGGUCGGGGAAGGAAAUACGCAUCUCCUAAUACGGGGUGUGGAUGACGGUACCCGAAUAAGAAGCACCGGCUAACUACGUGCCAGCAGCCGCGGUAAAAUCACGUGUAC
rnacentral:rRNA from 1 species